UCUGGUGACUAUACCUGUGAGGUCACACCCGAUCCCAUUCCGAACUCGGAAGUUAAGCUCAUACGGGCCGAUGGUACUUGGACCGCAGGGUCCCGGGAGAGUAGGUCGUUGCCAGAU
rnacentral:rRNA from 1 species